rnacentral:rRNA from 1 species
UACGGAGGGAGCUAGCGUUGUUCGGAAUUACUGGGCGUAAAGCGCGCGUAGGCGGCUUUGUAAGUUAGAGGUGAAAGCCCGGAGCUCAACUCCGGAACUGCCUUUAAGACUGCAUCGCUUGAAUCCGGGAGAGGUGAGUGGAAUUCCGGGUGUAGAGGUGAAAUUCGUAGAUAUUCGGAAGAACACCAGUGGCGAAGGCGGCUCACUGGACCGGUAUUGACGCUGAGGUGCGAAAGCGUGGGGAGCAAACAGG